CAGAGUGACCAGGAAAAGCUGCUUGCACCCAAAAAAGAAGAUGAAACUCAGUGAGAUGGGUUUGGUGAAGUGGCUCAUGAUGAGAGGGACAGAGCAGCCGUCACCCCAGGCAGGGAUUCAGCCCCUCUGCUCUGUCCUGGCAGGGGCAGACAUGGCCCUUCUGCCCCAGACCAGAGGGACAGCAGCAGGCAAGAGGGCUGAUGGCCAUCUCUUCAACACCAGGAGAUUCAGGACCCACUCCAGAGGAUGUGGGAGGGCUGGCAUUCAGUCGGGCACGGGCAGGCUCAUCCCAUUCCUGGAACAUCCACCACUUUCUGCACAGGAAGAAAAUCCAGAACACAAACCCUGCAGCAGGGAUGCCCCAGCCACUGGCCUUCACACCCUGCUGCUGGUGGGAGGAAAGCCAGGCAGCAGGCAGCUUUGUGUCCUGCAAAGCACUGCAAAACUGGUUUAUAUUAAUAAUAAAGAGCACACAAUACCGAAGUGCUUGGGGUUUGUCUGUUAAUCUCUCAACAGUCAGCUGCAAAACUAACAAAUCCUCUGCGUCCCAGCUCAUUCCUCCCUGCCCCCUUUUACAGCUAAAAAUAAUCAAUAAUGGCUGGCCGAAACGGGGAGACCAAAGCAGUUUUAAAGGCUGCGGGAUCACGACUCGCACCUUCACCCCCACGCUGGCUGGGCACAAAACCCCCACGGGCUGUGUUUCCCAGCAGCCGCGGUGGAAACCACCUCCGAACCAGCGGGCACCGCACGGAGCUCCAGCAUCUUCUGCUUCUGCCGUGAUCCUGCAGUGCUGCUCUGCUGGUAAGGACUGGAAAUGAGAGUGAUGCAGCCGGGGGAGAGUGGCGUUAUCCUCCCUCCUUUAUGCGAUGAGGGCUGAUUGAACCUCUCGGGAGCAACGAGCCCCCGGGGAGGCAGCCGGGCUUGUUAUUCUGCUGCUGAUUGCGGGUUUCGGCUCCAUCGCAGCACCGGGACCUGCUCAGGGUGGCCCGGGGUGAUGGCAGCGGUGCCGGGGGAAUUUUCCAUCCCAAUCCCCAUCCGAAAGGUGAGCCCAGGCAGCUCACCCUGCUCAGGUGGGUCCAUCCUCUCUGGUGCACAUCUGCACGCAGCUGUUUCCCCUCGAAAAGCAGCAGCACCGAAGGAGAACCAAAACCAAACCAAAACCAAAAAAUCUAACCCGUUCUAACAGUCCGACCAUUCCCUCUGUGGCGACCACAUUUCACAGGCAACAAAACCCAGCAUUUCCCAGCCGGCUCGCUGCUCUGCUGGCUCCCACCGCCUCGGGGGAAGGGAGACAUCGCCCUGUGCCUCUGUGCUGGCACCGCCCUGGAAAAGCCCCGGGCCACCUUAGGGACUUUCCCAGCCCGGCACAAAAAUACCGUCCUAUUGCUCCCUCGUGCCCCAAGGCAGCCUGUCCUGGCCUAGGGAAGGUGGCGAUGCACAGGACAGGGACAAGGGACGGGCCAGCACCGCCCCACAUUUACUUUCGGGAUGACUGCGAUGCCCGGGGCUGAGGAACGCGGUUUGUCACCGGGGCCACCCCGCCCGCCACCGCCGCUUUCCUGCGGGGGAGGCGGCCACGACACUCCGCUGUUCCUCUCCGUGCUGGUUCGUUAUUGCACAGCUGGGGAAGAGCGAGGGGGAUCCUAAUUAGAAAUAAAACAGCUGCCACAAAGGCUGUGGCCAGAAUGAUGGGAUUUACUCCCUGCCUGCUCAGGAAUGGGGUGCCAAGGGGUGGCACGGAUCCUGGCCUGAUGCUGACACAGGACCAGCUGCACUUUGCCUGGGGCGGUCCCCGUUCCAGGCCGGCGUGGCUGGGUCUGCAAAGGGACAAACUGGAAGGUGCUGGAGAAAGGCAGCAGGGAUUGCUGGAGUGUGAAAAGGGAAAAAAAAAAAACCAAAACAAAAUAACAAAACCAAAGAAACUGGUGCUUUCAAGAUGAUACUGCAGUCAGGAAGUGGUUUAAGAAAUAGCAGAAGUUCAAAGUGAGAACAUGGCACCAGUUUUUCCUCCAGUGCUGUUAAUUACGUGUGGUUCUGGAGCAUGACGAUAGUUUCCACUUCCUGCUCUUGCUAAAGACUCUCACACAGAGCAGAAGUGAAGGCAAAUGUUGAAAAUCCAAGAAAUCAUAAAAAUGAGGACAAAUCCCAGCUCUGAAAGGCUGCAGGAGGCGCUGCUCUGUAAGCCCAUGCCGUGAAGCCGCUGGGGGACCAAAGGCAAUAAAAGAGAUGGAUUCUUCUUCCUGCUCUGUGCAGGGAGCAAAUGACUCCCAAAGACUGUGCCUGGCAGCACACCCUUCGAAAUCACCCAGACAUGAGCUGUGGUGCCUCCAGCUUCCAGCAAAAGUCAGGUAUUUUGAUGAAAACCCCGUGGGGAAUGGGUGCUCAGAAACAUUUGUGUGUGCUGGGGCUGUACAACAAAGCCAGUGGCAAAGCCCUGCCUGAUUUCAAGGCAGACAUGAGCUCAGCCUAAAUCCCAGCUGCUCUGUGCGUGCCUGCAGGGAGGAUGACUGGGCCCACGCUGGCAGCUGCCAUCACCCUCAGCAUCAGCUCUUGGAGAGAGAAUCAGAAAUACAUCCAAUUCCCCCAGUGACUGUGCCACAAACGUGAACAUCCCCUAACAUUGAGCUAUCGAAGGGGAACUUCCUCCCCCUUCAGCCUGAACUCUCUUUUAUUUCUGUUAAUGACUCCUCAUGAAGGAAUCCAGAUGUUAAAAACAGCAGUCAGGCCAAAAAGCUGGCCCGUGUCGGGUGUGUGACACUUCCCCUCUGUCCUGGCUGGCUGGGCUGGGAAGGAACAAAAACCAGCUGAGCAACAGAUUGCAUCGGCUGAACAACUGCCAGCAGCCACAGCAACUCACCAGCCAGAAAGAAAAAUCCCACCUGGAGCAAGCCAAAAUAAUUGUUGGUUUAAAAAAAAAAAAAAUAGACUGAGCAAGCAUUGCAACCUUUAAUGGCUCUGAAAAUCAACAUCAAAUUUUUAAAAAGGUAGUAAGAGGUGUGCUUGGAAAGGGGAUUUGUAAAAUAGUAACUUGGUCACCCCAGCGGAGUGCCACCCAUGCUGAGCCAGGGAGGAUCUCAUGCUGUAGAUAAUUCUGCAGGGCCCAGCUCAUCCAGCAACACACUGAUAGGGAUUUUCAACAAAUAGGUCUGCCUGCAGUGGAACAGGACCUUAAUAUCCCCUGGUGAGGCUGCUUGGUGGCUCUCAGCCACCAGCCCCCAUCAAAAACCCUCCUGGUUGGGGCAUUUGUGCCCAGCUGGGCUGAUUUGUACAAGGCUUUGAGGUCUCCAGCCCUGAUUUGGGUGGAAAUGGUUGACCUGCUGCCACCUGGCAGCCUGCUGGCCAUGGAGCACAGGGGCCGAGACAGUCAUCCUUUAAAUGCAGAAAUAAUUUGGCAGCUGGGCUUAUGGCAAAUGAUCCUAAUGAAAAGCAGCUGCCUCAUGCCUGUAAAUAGGAUUGUCUAUGCAGCAUUUUGGCCUAAUAGAGUAAAAUCAGAAGACAGGAAUUUUAUAUAGAAGAGUUGCAAUCUCAAAUCUUAAGCUCUACUGACACGCCAGCACCAUUGGUUAGAAGGGGAGGGUUUAGGAACAGUCAAAAAAACCUCAGCACAGAGAAGCCAGGGUACCUCAAACAGCUUUCAAUGCCCUCCCUUGCUUCCAGCCACUCUGUAAAACCCUCUAGUGAAAGACAGACUUUAUAUCACUCAAAUCUCUGCAAUCCCAAUCUUCCCUUGCUCUCCCAGGCUGGUUUCUCUGCCAGGCCCUUGUUGGCCUCCCCAGGCUCUUGCUGGUGGCUCAUCCCCAGCUGGGUUUGUGCUGAAUGACCACAGAGGAGCCCAGCUUAACCUUCCUCACUGAGCAGGCACGGAUCCAAAUGAAAACCUGGCUGUGACAUGAAGGCAGUGCAAGCUGAGGGGGUCUGUUGGGCUCUGCUGGAGGAUGCCAGGAUGGUGAAGGGUCUGGAGGAGAAGCUGUGUGAGGAGCAGCUGAGGUCACUUGGUCUGACCAGGCUGGACAAGAGGAGACUGAGGGGAGACCUCAGUGGAUCCUCCCAGUGACAGUGAUCCCAAAAUCGGCCAGAAAAUAAACUUCCCAACACAACUUGAAGCAUUACAAAGCAGGCAUUCUUUAACAGCACGGGACACAUAGGAGGAGAUCUCCUUCAAUCUGAGGUGUGUGGUGAGACUUUGCAGCAGGGUUUUUACUUCAUCAUAAUCAUACAUAUUCAUUACAAUGUGCCUCCUAGCUAAUACAUAAACAUCACUUUUCCUAGAACUAAUUUGCAGUCAUCAAUCUCCUACUGGAGAUUUUUAUGGUCCUGGAGAUUCAUGUAAAGGGGUCUCUGGUGGUUGUACUCACUGAAUCCUUCAAUAUUACGGGUGACCUUUCCUUCAACUUUUUCUUUGGGCAUGCACUGCUGCUUCUUGUUACAUAACUUACCAGAAACCCACUAUAGACCUCAUUAUCUGUUUCUGCACAUAUACAUUUUCAGGUACAUUUAUCAUCCUGAGUGCAUGCCUUUACAUUCUUUCAUCUUUUUUGCUAGUUAGUCUUUAGGCUCUGCCCAGCAAUGUCAGGGGAACUAAAAAUUUAUAUUCUCUAUGUUAUUUAUCAACAGGACUUGGGGAAAAGGUAUGAAGCUGAGUCAGGGGAGGUUUAGUUUGGUAUCAGGAAAAUCCAGUGCCUGAGUGUAAAAGAGCCCAUAAGUUUUUCCUGUGCCUCUGGCUCACUCCUGUUGAAGCCCCUCAUUUGCUUUUCCAGGCUACUCUCGAUUCUGUAGCCCUUUCCUCAGUCAUUCCUUCCCAAAUCCAAGACUUACACCUCACAAAGACUGAAGCUGCUAUGUGUGGUCUCCUUCUGCACCUUUUGCAGUUCCCCUCCGUCCUUUUGGGAUGAGGAAACCCAAACUGUGUGCAUAUUGAAAAUAUGGAUGGGCUGUGGAUUUACUCUAUGUCAGCCCAGUAAGAUAUGACACAGCUGCUAAGAGCACUUGGAGCUCUUCUAACUCUUUAUCCUGCUUCUUGAAUACCAAACUAUUUUUCCUCCAAGUGUAUGUUUAUAAAGAUUUUCAGAUCUCAACAUGAACAAAGAUUCCCUGGAGCUGAGGCUGGCAUCAUGCUGAGUCAUAUAUCAUUAUAAAAGACAAAUUCCAGACCCUGGGAUAUUCAGAAUAGAUCAAAAUAAAAGAAACUUGAGACGAAUUCAAAAAGUAGGUGGGAGGGAUGCUUAAUGUAAUGUUAAAGCAGCACCAGUUUAUUCAAGCAGAUGCCAGGAGACUAAAUGAAAGGCUGGUUGUUUUCUUCUGCAGUUUGUGCCCUUUCCUUUCACAGAUCUCCCUUCUGGGGAUAGAAACAAUAACAUCAGCUCUGGAGCACCAUGUUUAUCUGCUUACUCUCACAGAACUACACCCACACGGGUGAUCUGGCAUCUGUUUAGCCCCCAGAGAUAUGCAAGGUGUAAACACACAUCUGGAAAUAAACUAUCCAUGGGUUUUUCAAAACCACUGUGCUUCACUUGAAAUCACGGACAAGAUGCAGACAGAAGGGGGAAAAAAAGCCUCUAAAAUAUUUCGGUGCACCAGAUACAGGCAGG
ensembl:lncRNA